CCUACGGGAGGCUGCAGUGGGGAAUAUUGCACAAUGGGGGAAACCCUGAUGCAGCGACGCCGCGUGAGUGAAGAAGUAAUUCGUUAUGUAAAGCUCUAUCAGCAGGGAAGAAAAUGACGGUACCUGAGUAAGAAGCCCCGGCUAACUACGUGCCAGCAGCCGCGGUAAUACGUAGGGGGCAAGCGUUAUCCGGAUUUACUGGGUGGAAAGGGAGCGUAGACGGCAGUGCACGUCUGGAGUGAAAGGCGGGGGCUCAACCCCCGGACUGCUUUGGAAACUGUACGGCUGGAGUGCAGGAGAGGUAAGUGGAAUUCCUGGUGUAGCGGUGAAAUGCGUAGAUAUUAGGAGGAACACCAGUGGCGAAGGCGGCUUACUGGACUGUAACUGACGUUGAGGCUCGAAAGCGUGGGGAGCAAACAGGAUUAGAUACCCGGGUAGUC
rnacentral:rRNA from 1 species